AGUGAACGCUGGCGGUAGGCCUAACACAUACAAGUCGAACGGCAGCACAGUAAGAGCUUGCUCUUACGGGUGGCGAGUGGCGGACGGGUGAGGAAUACAUCGGAAUCUACUUUUUCGUGGGGGAUAACGUAGGGAAACUUACGCUAAUACCGCAUACGACCUACGGGUGGAAGCAGGGGAUCUUCGGACCUUGCGCGAUUGAAUGAGCCGAUGUCGGAUUAGCUAGUUGGCGGGGUAAAGGCCCACCAAGGCGACGAUCCGUAGCUGGUCUGAGAGGAUGAUCAGCCACACUGGAACUGAGACACGGUCCAGACUCCUACGGGAGGCAGCAGUGGGGAAUAUUGGACAAUGGGCGCAAGCCUGAUCCAGCCAUACCGCGUGGGUGAAGAAGGCCUUCGGGUUGUAAAGCCCUUUUGUUGGGAAAGAAAAGCAGCAGGUUAAUACCCCGCUGUUCUGACGGUACCCAAAGAAUAAGCACCGGCUAACUUCGUG
rnacentral:rRNA from 1 species